rnacentral:tRNA from 1 species
GCGGGUGUAGUUCAGUGGUAGAAUGUCUCCUUGCCAAGGAGAAGAUCGGCGGUUCAAGUCCGCUCACCCGCU